AUUGAACGCUGGCGGCAGGCCUAACACAUGCAAGUCGAGCGGAUGAAGGGUGCUUGCUCCUGGAUUCAGCGGCGGACGGGUGUGUAAUUCCUAUGAAUCUGCCUUGUAGUGGGUGAUAACGUCCGUAAACGGGCGCUAAUACCGCAUACGUCCUUAUGUUGAAAGUUGGUGAUCUUCGGACCUCUCGCUUUCUUCUUUGCCUAGUUCGGAUUAGCUAGUUGGUUGGGUAAAGUCCUACCAAGGCGACGAUCCGUAACUGGUCUGAGAGGAUGAUCAGUCAAACUGGAAGUGAGAAACGGUAAAGAGUCAUACGGGAGGAAGCAGAGGGGAAUAUUGGACAAUGGGCGAAAGCAUGAUCGAGAAAUGCCGAGUGUGUGAAGAAGGUCUUAGGAUUGUAAAGAACUGUAAGUAGGGAGGAAGGGAAGUAAGUUAAUACCUUGCUGUUUUGACGUUACCAAAAGAAUAAGGACCGGCUAACUUCGUG
rnacentral:rRNA from 1 species